rnacentral:rRNA from 1 species
GUUUGAUCCUGGCUCAGAACGAACGCUGGCGGCGUGGCUAAGACAUGCAAGUCGAACGGACUCGUUAAUUUAUUAGCGAGUCAGUGGCGAAAGGGUGAGUAAUGAAUAGGUAACGUACCCCGAGCUCUGGGAUAGCCAUCCGAAAGGAUGGGUAAUACCGGAUAACCUCACGAGUCGAUAGGCUCGUGAGCAAAGAUUCAUCGGCACGGGAGCGGCCUAUUUCCUAUCAGCUAGUUGGUGAGGUAACGGCCCACCAAGGCGAAGACGGGUAGCGGGACUGAGAGGUUGGCCCGCCACAUCGGAACUGAGACACUGUCCGGACCCCCACGGGGGGCUGCAGUAACGAAUCUUGGGCAAUGGGCGAAAGCCUGACCCAGCGACGCCGCGUGCGGGAGGAAGUCCUUCGGGAUGUAAACCGCUGUCAGGGACGUGAAAGUCCACUUCGGUGGAUUGAUCUAACCCAAAGGAAGUCACGGCUAACUCUGUGCCAGCAGCCGCGGUAAGACAGAGGUGGCAAGCGUUGUUCGGUAUCACUGGGCUUAAAGCGUGUGUAGGCGGGAACGUAAGCAUUUUGUGAAAUCCCCCGGCUUAACCGGGGCAUUGCUUGAUGUACUGCGUUCCUUGAGGCAAGUAGGGGUGCGAGGAACUCUUGGUGGAGCGGUGGAAUGCGUAGAUAUCAAGAGGAACGCCGGUGGUGAAGACGUCGCACUAGGCUUGUCCUGACGCUGAGACACGAAAGCGUGGGGAGCG